CCUACGGGAGGCAGCAGUGGGGAAUCUUAGACAAUGGGGGCAACCCUGAUCUAGCCAUGCCGCGUGAGUGAUGAAGGCCUUAGGGUCGUAAAGCUCUUUCGCCUGUGAUGAUAAUGACAGUAGCAGGUAAAGAAACCCCGGCUAACUCCGUGCCAGCAGCCGCGGUAAUACGGAGGGGGUUAGCGUUGUUCGGAAUUACUGGGCGUAAAGCGCGCGUAGGCGGAUUAGAAAGUUGGGGGUGAAAUCCCGGGGCUCAACCCCGGAACUGCCUCCAAAACUGCUAGUCUAGAGUUCGAGAGAGGUGAGUGGAAUUCCGAGUGUAGAGGUGAAAUUCGUAGAUAUUCGGAGGAACACCAGUGGCGAAGGCGGCUCACUGGCUCGAUACUGACGCUGAGGUGCGAAAGUGUGGGGAGCAAACAGGAUUAGAUACCCUGGUAGUCCACACCGUAAACGAUGAAUGCCAGUCGUCGGAUAGUAUACUAUUCGGUGACACACCUAACGGAUUAAGCAUUCCGCCUGGGGAGUACGGUCGCAAGAUUAAAACUCAAAGGAAUUGACGGA
rnacentral:rRNA from 1 species